UACGAAGGGGGCUAGCGUUGCUCGGAAUCACUGGGCGUAAAGCGCACGUAGGCGGCUUGUUAAGUCAGGGGUGAAAUCCUGGAGCUCAACUCCAGAACUGCCUUUGAUACUGGCGAGCUUGAGUUCGGGAGAGGUGAGUGGAACUGCGAGUGUAGAGGUGAAAUUCGUAGAUAUUCGCAAGAACACCAGUGGCGAAGGCGGCUCACUGGCCCGAUACUGACGCUGAGGUGCGAAAGCGUGGGUAGCAAACAGGA
rnacentral:rRNA from 1 species